AUGGCCGAAACUAAGGACGAGAGUUCAUGGAUGAGGGGAAAGGAUUCCUUGAUUCGAACCAAACGGCCGAAACUAAGGAGAAGAGGGAAGGAGACCAGAGAACCAAGAAGUAAAAUGAGCCGAACCCCUAGAGCAGCCAAGGAGCCUUGUAUUUAUAGGAGGAGGAGGAGUGCAGCACCAGGAAUCCAAUCGCCAGCUGCCUUCUUCUUUUUCCUUAGACCAGCUAGAAGACAUACGAGAAAAGGUCUGCUUCCGUCCGGCCGUGGACGCGAUUCUUUAGAUAGGCAGGAGACGUUGGAGAAAAAGCCCUGGUCUCUGGAUGUGCUUGAUCUGUAUUUACUACGUGAUCCCAUGGUCGGCGUUCCGGGAAGCCUCUACCAGGGCUUGAUACUACUUCUCUCAUCCUUGUUGUGGGCUGGCUGUUUGGGCACGUCCACCUUGAUGGAGCCGGAUGAAGUCCAUAGGAUGUCUCUAUUGCAGCUAGCUAAGAGGCAACUUUUUGAACCAGAUACUAAUUUGUUGUACAAUCCUGUGAUAAGGGAACAACUGACACCCCAAGGAAAUCCUGAAUAUUCUAGGCGAGGGUGGACAUCAGGCCGCUCCUUCAUAGCGCAGUGCUAUUAUCCUGUCGCUCCUCAUCCUAGAGUCGAUACAGCUGUCACCCUCGGGACUCACAUGAUAUCCAAAGGAUUAGGUUGGGAAUUCCACGAGGUUGAAUAUUCAAUAGCUCCCCCUGGGUACGUUGAAUGGGGAACUAACAUUUUGAAGAAUUAUUCCAUGCAUUUGAAAGGUAGUGAAGAGAACACUGACUAUAUCUAUGGAGCCAUUUACUGCUCUUUGGGUGAGUACUCUGUAUCUCCCCCGCUUCUGAGGGCUUUGUUAGAGCACUGGGAUCCUAACACUAACACGUUCUUAUUCCCCUGUGGUGAACGCAUAAUGACUCUUCUUGAUAUGAACCAAAUGGCUGGGCUACCCUUAGAUGGUGAUCCGUAUGAAGAAUUUAUACCCCCUACUCAUGAACUGGAUCCUUCUCUGUUGUUGUACCCCAGCUUUUUGCCACAACUCCUUGACAUAUGGAACAAACUCUCCGAAAGCGGCAAUGUAGGCUUUCGGGAAUGGUGGAGGGCCAUAUAUUCGUCCCGGGGUAUUAGUGAUGGCCUCUUGGAUCACAAUAGGGCGUCGCAUAUCCUUAGCUCCGCCGGCCCUUUGCUCCUUAUACUAUUCGCUUCGGCUGAUCAGUACUCAUCCCAUUGGUCCCUCCUUUUUGAAAAGGGCAUGGCAAGUCCACUAUCUGAUCGGAUGGAUAGAGUAACAAGACAAUUUAGGCUUGACCAAGUGGUGCCUUUUCCUCCCUUCACCAGUCUGUAUACAAGACAUGAUAUAGGUAUUGCAUAUGCCUUUUGGCUUCAUUUAUUGCGGGAUGCGGAGGAUCCACGCCCCAUUCCAGACGAUUCUCGCGGCGGUGACUCAUCUGUGGCAUGGGCAAAUUGGCUACAUGAAUUUCUGAAGCCAUUCGCUGAUGUAUUUGACCAACUUCGCAAUGGUAAUUUGAAUGGGAAGGUCCCUUAUAAUGAAAGGAGAAAAAAUAGGUCCGCACUGCAACGCCAUAUUAGAGUUCGUCCAUUGUCUGAUGAGGAUUUUAAGGUAGUAAGAAGGGUGGCUGAUGAGCACCGGGACCAGCAUAUUGGUGUCAUUGAACAGGAGGAAGCACGUGUCAAAGAUCACUGGAUGCCGAUCCUCCAUAGCUACUUACAAGACGUUGCUCUACUCAACCCAUGA
rnacentral:rRNA from 1 species